rnacentral:rRNA from 1 species
AACGAACGCUGGCGGCAGGCCUAACACAUGCAAGUCGAGCGAGGACGUCGGGCCUAUCUGCGGAGGGGGGGGGAAGGCGGGGGAAGGUGCCCUUGGGUACGGAAUAGCCGUGGGAGAGAUGGAUUAAUACCGGAUGAGCUCUUAGGGGGAAAGAGUUGUCGGCGCAGGCUCGGGCCGCGUAGGAUUAGGUAGUUGGGGGUGUAAUGGCCGACCAAGACGACGAUCCAUGGCUGGUUGGAGAGGAUGCUCAGCCACGCUGGGACUGCGACACGGGCCAGACGCCUACGGGAGGCAGCAGUGGGUAGUCUUAGACGCUGGGGCCAGAUCUGAUCUAGCCACGCGCGGUGAGAGAUGAAGGCCUUAGGGUUGUAAAGCUCUCUGAGCCGGGAAGAUAGUGACGGUAACAGCAGAAGAAGCCCCGGCUAACUCCGUG